GCGGUGGAGCACGUUGGUUUAAUUCGAUGCAAACCGAAGAACCUUACCUGGGUUUGACAUGCAGGUGGUAGAGAGAAGAGAUUUAAUCGACUCUGCAGUAAUGCAGAGAGCCUGCACAGGUGCUGCAUGGCUGUCGUCAGCUCGUGUCGUGAGGUGUCGGGUUAAGUCCCAUAACGAGCGCAACCCCUAUCAUUAGUUGCCAUCAGGUCAAGCUGGGGACUCUAAUGAAACUGCCUACGCAAGUAGUGAGGAAGGUGGGGAUGACGUCAAAUCAGCACGGCCCUUACGUCCAGGGCUACACACGUGCUACAAUGGCCGGUACAAAGGGCAGCUACCUGGUGACAGGAUGCUAAUCUCAAAAGCCGGUCUCAGUUCGGAUCGGAGUCUGCAACCCGACUCCGUGAAGCUGGAAUCGCUAGUAAUCGUGAAUCAGAAUGUCACGGUGAAUACGUUCCCGGGCCUU
rnacentral:rRNA from 1 species